rnacentral:misc_RNA from 1 species
UUAAGUUCAGCGGGUAGUCCUACCUGAUUUGAGAUCAAACGUUCAAGAAGUUGUCCUCUCUGUGGAGAGACAUUUAUGAGCUCCAGCGAACCCCCAUUGCUGAAGGGACACCUGGCAGGAAACCACAAGCGUAGAUAGUUAUCACACCUGUGGUGCCGCCAAACACUGGCAAGCUGAUUCAUUUGAGAGGAGCUGGCCAC